GGGGAUGGGCGUGUGAGGAGGUCUAAGAGGAUCAGCCUGAAAGUUCCAGCGGGAGUCGACUCCCAGAGUCGGUUGAGGGUCCGAUCUGAGGGAAAUGCUGGACGAAGAGGCGGUCCACCGGGAGACCUCUAUGUGUUCAUUGAAGUUCUUCCUGAUCCUAUCCUCAAGCGUGAGGGUACCAACAUCCUCUACACAUGCAAGGUCCCAUACACCGAUGCAAUUCUGGGGACCACGGUUAAGGUCC
rnacentral:misc_RNA from 1 species